rnacentral:rRNA from 1 species
UACGUAGGUGGCAAGCGUUAUCCGGAAUUACUGGGCGUAAAGCGCACGCAGGCGGUCUUGUAAGUUUGACGUGAAAGCUCCCGGCUUAACUGGGAGAGGUCGUUGAAGACUGCAAGACUUGAGGAAAUGAGAGGGGUGUAGAAUUCCUGGUGUAGUGGUGGAAUGCGUAGAUAUCAGGAGGAAUACCAGUGGCGAAAGCGGCACCCUAGCAUUUUUUCUGACGCUCAUGUGCGAAAGCGUGGGGAGCGAACGGG